rnacentral:rRNA from 1 species
GCUUGUCUCAAAGAUUAAGCCAUGCAUGUCUAAGUAUAAGCCUUUAUAUGGUGAGACUGCGAAUGGCUCAUUAAAUCAGAAACUGUUUAUUUGAUAGUGCCUACUACAUGGAUACCUGUAGUAAUUCUAGAGCUAAUACAUGCUAAAAACCCCGACUUCGGAAGGGGUGUAUUUAUUAGAUACAAAACCAAUGCCCUUCGGGGCUCCUUGGUGAUUCAUGAUAACUAUACGAAUCGCACGGCCUUGCGCCGGCGAUGGUUCAUUCAAAUUUCUUCCCUAUCAACUUUCGAUGUUUGGGUAUUGGCCAAACAUGGUUGCAACGGGUAACGGAGGGUUAGGGCUCGACCCCGGAGAAGGAGCCUGAGAAACGGCUACUACAUCCAAGGAAGGCAGCAGG